ensembl:snRNA U6 U6 spliceosomal RNA
GCGCUUGCUUCGGCAGCACACACACUAAAAUUGGAACGAUGCAGAGAAGAUUAGCAUGCCCCCUGCGCAAGGAGGGACAUGAUUUAGGGCACUUGAACAUUCCUUA